UGACGAGUCUCAAAUAGGACGAAACGCGCGUC
rfam:Schistosoma mansoni, Puerto Rico, WGS project CABG01000000 data, contig: 0192